rnacentral:lncRNA from 10 species
CUGAGAGUUGGGAAAUAAGCCAGAUCCUAUAAGCUUGAGUGGCCUGAAAAGGUUUUUUUUUUUCUUUGUAUCUAGAAAGAUUUCUGCAACCUUGGGAAGGUGUCAAUAUAUGUUAUUGACAUGCUGGAAAAGCAGCCAGAUAAAUAGGAACGACAUAUACACUUUUUCUGCAGUGUCAACAUCAUCUUCAUCAUUACUAUUACUACAAUCACCUUGAUUCAGAACCCAUCAGUCAAUGAAUGAACAACUGGAGCCUCACUAUUGGUGUGAAUAAUUUCUUUGAUAUCCACUUCUUCCAGCUUGCUGAUAGACUCUGAAGUAUCCUCAGCUCUUGGCCCAGUGAGUCUUCUGUGCAUGCUGCUGGGGGAAAUCAGCCAGAACUGCUCUGCUGGACAAGAUUCUCAGAAUAGAGGCUGCUAACAAGCCCAGAUGGCAGUUGCAGCCAUCUUGUGACUAGAAGAAGAGGAAGCUCCAUACUCAGGGGCUCCAGAACACUAGAGUCACAGUCCUGAGACACAUACCUGGAGGCUGCCCUGCGUGUGGACUUCGUCUCCCUCUCAUGCCUAGCCGAAGCUGGACUGUACUGCUGCCAUCUCGGCUCACUGCAACCUCCCUGCCUGAUUCUCCUGCCUCAGCCCGCCGCGUGCCUGCGAUUGCAGCCGCGCACCGCCACGCCUGACUGGUUUUCGUACUUUUUUGGUGGAGAUGGGGUUUCGCUGUGUUGGCCGGGCUGGUCUCCAGCUCCUAACCGCGAGUGAUCCGCCAGCCUCGGCCUCCCGAGGUGCUGGGAUUGCAGACGGAGUCUGGUUCACUCAGUGCUCAAUGGUGCCCAGGCUGGAGUGCAGUGGCAUGAUCUCGGCUCGCUACAACCUCCACAUCCCAGCCGCCUGCCUUGGCCUCUCAAAGUGCCGAGAUUGCAGCCUCUGCCCUGCCGCCACCCCGUCUGGGAAGUGAGGAGCGUCUCUGCCUGGCCGCCCAUCGUCUGGGACGUGAGGAGCCCCUCUGCCUGGCUGCCCAGUCUGGAAAGUGAGGAGCGUUUCUGCCCGGCCGCCAUCCCAUCUAGGAAGUGAGGAGCGCCUCUUCCCGGCCACCAUCCCAUCUAGGAAGUGAGGAGCGUCUUUGCCUGGCCGCCCAUCGUCUGAGAUGUGGGGAGCGCCUCUGCCCCCCCGCCCCGUCUGGGAUGUGAGGAGCGCCUCUGCCCAGCCGCGACCCUGUCUGGGAGGUGAGGAGCAUCUCUGCCCAGCCGCCCCGUCUGAGAAGUGAGGAGACCCUCCGCCUGGCAACCGCCCUGUCUGAGAAGUGAGGAGCCCCUCCGCCCGGCAGCCACCCCAUCAGGGAAGUGAGGAGCGUCUCUGCCCGGAGGGAAGAGUGAAUAUAAGUGUGGCCUGAGUGAAAAGGAGAUUCAGACACGUCUGUAAGCUGGUGAGGCCGGGCAUCGGAAACCCUAUUUACGCGACUCUGAGGAGCCUCCUGAGAAGCCAAGCUCUGUGCCGAUGGGAUCAGACACCACUGAACAUGUCCACGGUGCUUGGGGGCUUGGACAACAGCAGUCCGACACUGAGACACCUGCAGGCACGGAGUUCAUCGUCCCAGGGGAAGUUUGUUACAGUAAAUGGAUGAGCACCUGACCCAAAGGCCGCCAACCAAUAAACUAGCCAGUGUCGUGUGUGAUACGAAACAAGUCCACUUGAUCAGAUUCUCUCAGAAGAACAAGGAUGUUUGAAACUGGGUGUGAUACCAUGGAUUACAGAUGGCUCCAUGAUAAUCAAGUUGAAGAACGAGAGAGUAGAGAUAUCCUGGAGAUGGAAAGGUCAGUCUCAAAAGAUCUCUAGGGUGUGGAUGGCUACUCUGUUCUUGUUCCCAUGAGCCAGGCUGAAUCAAGUGUACCUAUUCUUCCUGAAACUAAGUUGUCAUCUUUUCUUAGGGCCCAUGAAGAUAUAUCCUUACAGAGAAAUUCCCAUUGCUUGAGGCAAAUUAAGUGGGUCAAAAAAGCUUUGACUGAAAGAAUUAAUGAAAGUAGCCACAGAGCCACAGAUGGAAAAUAGGGCCUCAGCAUCCACAAAAUAAUCUCAUUAUAAAUACCUUUAAAAAUCUUGGAGCAGAUAAUCAGAACCUGACUGUAAUAUAAU